UUUGUCUUAGUAUAAUUUAUUAUAUCAGCUUUUCGUGCUGUAGAUAGUUUUUAACUAGACAAAU
rnacentral:tRNA from 1 species